CUUGGUGCUCAUAGUGUGGAGGGUACACCUCUUCCCUUUUCGAACAGAGAAGUUAAGCUCCAUUACGCCGAUGGUACUGCUCGGGUGACUGUGUGGGAGAGUAGGUAGGUGCCAAGU
rnacentral:rRNA from 1 species